rnacentral:tRNA from 1 species
AGCAGCGUGGUUCAGUGGUAAGAGCCCGGGCUUAGGAGUCAGCGGUCAUGGGUUUGAAUCCCAUCUCUGCUC